rnacentral:tRNA from 1 species
GGGCUCGUGGUCUAGUGGCUACGUAAAAAUGCUACGCAUUUUUAGUCUGUGGCUUAUCGCCACAUAUGACAGCGCCCUUACAAGGCGUUAAUCGUCGGUUCGAGUCCGACCGGGCCCA